UACGUAGGGUGCGAGCGUUGUCCGGAAUUAUUGGGCGUAAAGAGCUCGUAGGCGGUUUGUCGCGUCGGCCGUGAAAACUUGGGGCUUAACCCCAAGCCUGCGGUCGAUACGGGCAGACUUGAGUUCGGCAGGGGAGACUGGAAUUCCUGGUGUAGCGGUGAAAUGCGCAGAUAUCAGGAGGAACACCGGUGGCGAAGGCGGGUCUCUGGGCCGAAACUGACGCUGAGGAGCGAAAGCGUGGGGAGCGAACAGG
rnacentral:rRNA from 1 species